rnacentral:misc_RNA from 1 species
GAAAGUGAUAGUCAUGUUAUGGGAUUCCAUUCCAGAUUCUGAAACAAAGUGGAAUCUGGUAAGGAGUGAACAUAGCAAUUACAGUUGUUGACUGAUUCUAUUUAAAACCCAUCCAAUAAGCCCCAGCCAAAAUUAAAAUAUAAAUAAAGGCCAAACUCCUGCAUAAUAAACAAUAAGGAAAGCUAAACAAACUGAGUUGCAUUAUAGAG